GAUGAACGCUGGCGGCGUGCCUAAUACAUGCAAGUCGAGCGAACAGACGAGGAGCUUGCUCCUCUGACGUUAGCGGCGGACGGGUGAGUAACACGUGGAUAACCUACCUAUAAGACUGGGAUAACUUCGGGAAACCGGAGCUAAUACCGGAUAAUAUAUUGAACCGCAUGGUUCAAUAGUGAAAGACGGUUUUGCUGUCACUUAUAGAUGGAUCCGCGCCGCAUUAGCUAGUUGGUAAGGUAACGGCUUACCAAGGCAACGAUGCGUAGCCGACCGGAGAGGGUGAUCGGCCACACUGGAACUGAGACACGGUCCAGACUCCUACGGGAGGCAGCAGUAGGGAAUCUUCCGCAAUGGGCGAAAGCCUGACGGAGCAACGCCGCGUGAGUGAUGAAGGUCUUCGGAUCGUAAAACUCUGUUAUUAGGGAAGAACAAAUGUGUAAGUAACUAUGCACGUCUUGACGGUACCUAAUCAGAAAGCCACGGCUAACUACGU
rnacentral:rRNA from 1 species